CUCAUCUCUUUUUGAACAGCGCGCGAGACUGCAGCUGGUGAGUGCGCGAGAGUGGGAGAUUUUUGCUAGAUGCGUAUAAUUCGAGUACGCACCGCAUGGUGGUGUCAUGAUCGAAUUCAGCACGCCUUUUUAACACGGCAUCGGCAAUCUCUCUACUAAUCUCUGGUUGCGUACGGCCGCCCCUACUUCUCCUCCGCUGCUUCUAGAUGCGUAUAGUUCGGAGCGAAAACCGCAGGGCGGCGCUAGCUUACGACUGCAUAUCGCACGGCACGCUUUCGCCCAUGCUCAUCGGCAAUCUCUCCUCUAAUCUCUGGUUGCAGGGAUGGCAACCGGAAGUGCAGAAAGUUGCACCGAAUGGCUAACUUUAGACCACGGCGCGUAGAAAAUAAAUUUCUAUAGUCCGUAGCGCGAGAGUCGCUCUUCUGCAGUGCGUUCUGCUAGGCGCAUGUAAACAGCUGUGCAUAAAUCCUCGCAGUGUACGCGUACUUGUUGCUCAAACCCCUUCCCGUGCUGCUAAUAGUUGUAAUAGUGUAGUGUUGUAAAAUGUGCGAACAAAAGCAGGGAUUCCAGCAGUUGUGGGUGUACGGGAGAUGCUGCUGUUUUGUGAAUUGUCAAGUUGUAAAAUGUGUGCUGCAGCAGUCGAGCUCAUUGCUUCAGAUGUUCUGGACCAUCGCUGUACUUAUUCUCUUGUACAGAAGCUAUUGCACACUUGAACAAAACUGGCGAGUGAACAGUCUGCCUUUCACACACAGCUCCAAAAUCAAGAUGUUAGGUUAGGAUGCAUUUAAUAUUUGCAACGGUUGAGGUGAUGACUGAGAAGAGUUUAUCGAUUAUGUUGUGACUGCCAAAGUUUCAUUAGACGCUGGUGCAACCUGAUGCCAUACCUGGUGUCACAGAGACUUCAUGCGAGACCAGAAUCCAGAAAAAAACAACGUUGGAUUAGUCAUUCAUCAGCCAAGCUCAUGUAUGCACCUACCCUAUCUGACUCUGUUAAAAAAAUUUUGUCUGGAAAUCCAAUUAUUAUACGCAUAAAAUGGUUCACCACUGCCUUAAAUCGCUCAUUAAUGAGAUGGGGCAUGAGUUCAAAAUUCUGGUCACUGUGGUACAAUGUAGAGGUCUCAACAAUUCUACUGUUUCCAAUAUCGAUAGUAGUCAUUUUAAAAGUGACACUUAACAUUUGACUGUACAAUUCAGCAUCGCCAAAUGAAAAGAAAGAACAAGUAUUGGAACUUAUGGUUCCAGGAGUUGACAUUCCUUACAAUGAAAUGGGAUACUACGUGCUCUCAUUAAUAUUAUGCAGUGCUGUGCAUGAGAUGGGACGUGCUAUGGCAGCAGUUAG